GAGUUUGAUCCUGGCUCAGAAUGAACGCUGGCGGCAUGGCUAAGACAUGCAAGUCGAACGGACUAUUUUGAAGAGUAAUCGGAUUUAUAGUUAGUGGCGAAAGGGUGAGGAAUGGAUAGGUAACGUACCUCGGGCUCCGGAAUAGCUCAUCGAAAGGUGGGGUAAUGCCGGAUGAUGUCCUGUGUUAAAUUCACAGGACUAAAGAUUUAUCGGCCCCUGAGCGGCCUAUUCCCUAUCAGCUUGUUGGUGAGGUAACGGCUCACCAAGGCAACGACGGGUAGCGGGACUGAGAGGUUGACCCGCCACAUCGGAACUGAGACACUGUCCGGACCUCCACGGAGGGCUGCAGUAACGAAUAUUGGGCAAUGGGCGAAAGCCUGACCCAGCAAUGCCGCGUGUAGGAUGAAGCUUUUCGGAGUGUAAACUACUUUCAGGGAUUAGAAAGCUACGGUUGAUCAAUCCCAGAAGAAGUCACGGCUAACUUCGUGCCAGCAGCCGCGGUAAGACGAAGGUGGCAAGCGUUAUUCGAAAUCACUGGGCUUAAAGGGCGCGUAGGCGGAUAUGUAAGUGUCAGGUGAAAUCCCUCGGCUUAACCGAGGAAUUGCUUGGCAAACUACAUAUCUUGAGGCAAGUAGGGGUGUGUGGAACUCUUGGUGGAGCGGUGGAAUGCGUAGAUAUCAAGAGGAACGCCGAAGGUGAAGACAGCACACUAGGCUUGUACUGACGCUGAGGCGCGAAAGCGUGGGGAGCAAACAGGAUUAGAUACCCUGGUAGUCCACGCCGUA
rnacentral:rRNA from 1 species